rfam:Gossypium arboreum cultivar AKA8401 contig_37565_3, whole genome shotgun sequence.
AAUCCAUGCAUCGGACAUUUAUGAAUUAAAUCUUUGAAUAGUUCCCAAGAUUUAUAUAGUGUUUAAUCCUCCAAUUUCUAAAACUAUGUGAUGUCAUUUCUAAGCCU